UUGAAUUUAAAAUGGUUAUAACUUUCAAACGGUAACUCCGUUUUUAACAAAUGAGCUAUCCACGGAAAGGGGAAGAAGUCUACUUUUUAAUGGUCUUUGUUUUAAAGUCUAUAUCUGAUUUAUAUAUAAUAUAUAAGUUGUUGUCGGUUGACCGUUUCAAGUUUGUAUAAUAGUCAGGACCUGUUGUAUACGCAUGUAUUGAUAAGAAUACACAUGUUUCUGUUAUUAAAUUAUGUUUUUAUUAAAAAAAAAAAAAACAAAGUUGGGCGUUUCAUAAAUACUUUCCUUCUAAUCAGAAAAUUUCCAUUGCCAAAAGUUGUAUCCACCCAAAAUGCCCAAAAAAAACACUAUCUUCAUAUCCCCCAUCCAUACUAUGAACCAUUCAAGAAGUAGCGUUAUUCGGACAGUGUGACUCAACAUCAUUUGUAUACCCUAAUUUUUCGCCCGAAAUAGAAGACAAUGAAUGCACAAGCUCCAAUAGAUCGGAGAGGUGGAUUGAUGUCUCCAUUAUAGCCUGGUUUGAAAUCAUCCAAGGGAGAUCAUGCGAGGAGUAACUGAUUACACUUUUUGAGCCUUAACUGAUAACCGUGACAAAAACAUUUUUGUUGCACCUUAUUGGCAAAGUGAGCAUUGGGUAUUGAUUGUGAUUGAUCAUCAUCAUCCCCUGGGUUACAUUCUCGAUUCAUUGUUUAAAGACGGUGGGAAGUCCAAAAGCACAUACAAAGUAACCAAACUUAUAGAAAGUGCAACCAACAACAAGGCGGCUGGGAGUGUGGUUAUUACGUCAUGCGUUGGUUACAUAGAUUUGCGCUCCAAGGUCCUGGUAUUCUUUUUAAGAAGGAAACAUCUUGCCUUCCACAAGUUGAGUUGGAUAAAGUUGUUCAUACGUGGAUCGAGAAAUUUCUUGCAGCAAAUCAUCUACCUGGGAAAAGAUUCCUCCAUCCAAACAUGAGAGCACUCCAUUAAUCUUGGAAUGAAAGAAACCGCAACAUUGAAGUAGAAAACCUGUUUGUGGGUGAAUCUCGUAUGUUUACCUGAUGAUUGGGUUUCUUUAUGUAUUUCAAACAAUAUGUUAGAGUAUUUUACUUUGAAUGCUUUGUUUAGGGUAACUUGUUUAAAUAUAGAAUUGUAGUGAUGCUUGCGUUUUAACUUGGAAUGUUGUACACAAACUUGGGUCUUAUUGAAGUUUUUCU